rnacentral:rRNA from 1 species
GAUGAACGCUGGCGGCGUGCCUAAUACAUGCAAGUCGAGCGAACAGACGAGGAGCUUGCUCCUCUGACGUUAGCGGCGGACGGGUGAGUAACACGUGGAUAACCUACCUAUAAGACUGGGAUAACUUCGGGAAACCGGAGCUAAUACCGGAUAAUAUAUUGAACCGCAUGGUUCAAUAGUGAAAGACGGUUUUGCUGUCACUUAUAGAUGGCUCCGCGCCGCAUUAGCUAGUUGGUAAGGUAACGGCUUACCAAGGCGACGAUGCGUAGCCGACCUGAGAGGGUGAUCGGCCACACUGGAACUGAGACGCGGUCCAGACUCCUACGAGUGGCAGCAGUAGGGAAUCUUCCGCAAUGGGCGAAAGCCUGACGGAGCAACGCCGCGGGAGUGAUGAAGGUCUUCGGAUCGUAAAACUCUGUUAUUAGGAAAGAACAAAAGUGUAAGUAACUAUGCACGUCUUGACGGUACCUAAACAGAAAGCCACGGCUAACUACGUG